CGCGCGCGCUGGGGGCCACGCCCCCUGUGGGCGCAUGGCUCCGCCCCUUACGCGGCUUGUCGCUCCUGGGACUCCCGGCAGGCGGGGACCGGCGCUGGGCGUGGUAGCUCUGCCUUUGCUGUGGCGCCUUGAGGCUGCUACGCUCUCUUACACUCUCAUCCCGGUCCUGGUGAGCGCCGUUGUGCCUAGUUGACCCCAAGCACCGGUCUCUUAGUGGCUGAAUGUGGCUGAGCCGGGCUAAUGCCCGGAGGAGCUCCCCGGUCUGGAGACCGGGCCUGCAAGAGAGUCUCACUCAAAUGAUAAGCGAGUGAGAGACAAGACUGAGAAGGGCAGGUGCCCGUGCGAGGCCCGGAUGUUCCCGGGAGGUCCCGCGUGCGGGAAAGAGGGUACCGAGAGGGGCGCGAAAUCUGGACCAGUGUCAAGGAGAACAAGAUGCCCUAGAAGGAGUGGGUCCCACAAAUUAUGCAGCCAGCCCCACCUGGAACCAACCUGCCAACUGUGUGGAUUCCUGCAGCAUCUCCGAUGAAGCAGAGAAAGCAGAUCCCAGCUGAUGCAGCCUGGUGGACUUCGAGAGCCGGUGUCUACAUGGAGACAGAAAACCAUCGGCUGUCGGCCGCCAGCAGAGAUGUGACUCCUUCACCUGCUGGCAGCAGAGGCUUAAACAUCACUCAAGAGGCACUGGAAGGCGGCAGCCCCCUCCUCCCUCCCUACUUAACAUCUCUAAAACAUCUGCGACGUCCAACUGCGCGGGGAGGCAACGCGCACCUGACUCAUAAGAAGAGGCCCUACGUCCACCCCACGAUGGGCAUCUGGCCUGGCCGGGCUGCGACUACCCCACCCCACCCCACCCCACCCGCGCCGGCAUCCCUGGGCGGCGAGCGCCACCUGGAGGCCACCUGAGAUCUGCGGGGGUGCCGCCGGCACUUGGGAAGGUGGCGGAAUCCUUUCAUUCGGUUUUAUCCUUUAUUAAGCCACGGCUGUGUGUUAGGCUCUGGUGACACGGGUAGAAAUAAACCUAACGUCCAGUCUCCCAUGACAUUUAUGGCUGGAUGGAGAAGACAGAUGCUUGACAAAUAAUUCGAUUUGUAACACUAGGGCUGGAAAAGAGAUGGCUACAAAGGAGGGAUAAGGAGCACCUGGGUGGCUCAGUGAAGCGGGGCUCUUGAUCUCCACUCAGGUCAUGACCUCGGGGUCCUGGGAUCAGUCAACAGGUAGGGCUCCACACUGAGUGGAGCCUGCG